rnacentral:rRNA from 1 species
CUAAUACAUGCAAGUCGAACGGAGAGUGCCUGAUAAUUUAUUAUCGGGUGUCUCUUAGUGGCGAACGGGUGAGUAACGCGUUGGUGACCUGCCCCGAAGCGCGGGAUAACUCCGGGAAACUGGAGCUAAUACCGCAUGUGGUCACGGUUAUUAGAAAACCGUGUCUAAAGGACCUCGGUUCACUUCGGGAGGGACCUGCGUCCCAUCAGCUAGUUGGUAGGGUAAUGGCCUACCAAGGCGAAGACGGGUAGGGGACCUGAGAGGGUGGCCCCCCACAAUAGUACUGAAACACGGACCAUACAUCUACGGAUGGCAGCAGUAGGGAAUAUUGCCCAAUGGACGAAAGUCUGAGGCAGCAACGCCGCGUGUGCGAUGAAGGUCUUCGGACUGUAAAGCACUUUUCUGAGGGAAGAGGAAGGACGGUACCUCAGGAAUAAGUCUCGGCUAACUACGUGCCAGCAGCCGCGGUAACACGUAGGAGGCAAGCGUUAUCCGGAUUUACUGGGCGUAAAGCGCGUGCAGGCGGUUUGGUAAGUUGGAUGUGAAAGCUCCCGGCUCAACUGGGAGAGGCCGUUCAAUACUGCCAGACUAGAGGACGGUAGAGGGAGGUGGAAUUCCCGGUGUAGUGGUGAAAUGCGUAGAUAUCGGGAGGAACACCAGUGGCGAAAGCGGCCUCCUAGGCCGUUCCUGACGCUAAGACGCGAAAGCAUGGGUAGCAAACGGGAUUAGAAACCCCGGUAGUCCAUGCCGUAAACGAUGCAAACUUGGUGUUGGUGGUGUAAAAACGUCAGUACCGCAGCUAACGCGAUAAGUUGCCGCC